rnacentral:rRNA from 1 species
GACGGAGGGUGCGAGCGUUAUUCGGAAUUAUUGGGCGUAAAGAGCGUGUAGGCGGCCGGCCAAGUCAGAUGUGAAAGCCCAGGGCUUAACCCUGGAAGUGCAUUUGAAACUGGUUGGCUUGAGGACCGGAGAGGAUAGUGGAAUUCCCAGUGUAGUGGUGAAAUACGUAGAGAUUGGGAAGAACACCAGUGGCGAAGGCGGCUAUCUGGACGGUUUCUGACACUAAGACUCGAAAGCGUGGGGAGCAAACAGG